AAUGAACGCUAGCGGGAUGCUUUACACAUGCAAGUCGAACGAGGGGCGGGCGGGUGAGUAAUAUAUCGGAACGUGCCCAGUAGCGGGGGAUAACUACUCGAAAGGGUUGCUAAUACCGCAUACUAUAGGAGCGGCCGAUAUCGGAUUAGCUAGUUGGUGGGGUAAAGGCUCAACAAGGCAACGAUCCGUAGCUGGUUUGCGAGGAUGACGAGGCACCCUGGGACUGAGACACGGCCCUGACUCCUACGGGAGGCAGCAGUGGAGCAUGUUGGAAAAUUGUGGAAACGCCGAUCGAGCCAUUCCGCGUCUAUGAGAGGGCAUUAGGGUUGUAGAGUACUUUUGGCAGUGAAGGGGUAUGUGCAGAAGAAGCACCGGCUAACUACGUGCCAGCAGCCGCGGUAAUAC
rnacentral:rRNA from 1 species